rnacentral:misc_RNA from 1 species
GGCUGGAUCCCCUCCUUAACGGAUUGCGAGUAAGACUCAAUCAGCCGGUCAGGCCUUCGGGCCGCGGCGAGUCGGAAAGCUUUCGUAAGUCGCUCGCCUCGUACAUCUCUCUUCCCAAAUUCGAUUUUCUCUGCUUCGAUGCCUCGACCGAGGGCACGUCUCUCGGUCGUUGAGCGUCUUCGCUGUUUGACAAUGGAACGUUUGGUAGAUCGCGGAUUUGAGAAUUUCUCAUUGAGAAUAUUCAAUUUCGUUUUUUAGAAUGCGAAUUCACUCGAUGUAGUGGUCCUGGAUUGCGCCAGGACACGAUUCGAACCGCCGGCGGAACAUCGUUCGGUGGGUUGGAAUCGGUGGUUCAGUAGAACCAGACAGAUCGUACAUGUAGCUCUGCUUGCUACGAGUUUUGUAGUCAAGCGAGUGAAGGCAUGUGGGGGAUGCCUGGGCACACGGAGGCGAGGAAGGCCGUGGUAAGCUGCGAUAAGCUUGGGGGAGCGGCACACACGCGAUGAUCCCGAGAUGGCCGAAUGGGGAAACCCGGAAGGGCGAA